rnacentral:rRNA from 1 species
UACAGAGGUCCCAAGCGUUGUUCGGAUUCACUGGGCGUAAAGGGUGCGUAGGUGGCGAGGUAAGUCGGAUGUGAAAGCUCGGAGCUCAACUCCGAAAUGGCAUUGGAAACUACCUUGCUCGAGGGUUGGAGGGGGGACUGGAAUUCUCGGUGUAGCAGUGAAAUGCGUAGAUAUCGAGAGGAACACCAGUGGCGAAGGCGGGUCUCUGGACAGUUCCUGACGCUGAGGCACGAAGGUCAGGGGAGCAAACGGG